rnacentral:rRNA from 1 species
UGGGGAAUAUUGGACAAUGGGCGAAAGCCUGAUCCAGCCAUGCCGCGUGUGUGAAGAAGGUCUUCGGAUUGUAAAGCACUUUAAGUUGGGAGGAAGGGCAGUAAGCGAAUACCUUGCUGUUUUGACGUUACCGACAGAAUAAGCACCGGCUAACUCUGUGCCAGCAGCCGCGGUAAUACAGAGGGUGCAAGCGUUAAUCGGAAUUACUGGGCGUAAAGCGCGCGUAGGUGGUUCGUUAAGUUGAAUGUGAAAGCCCCGGGCUCAACCUGGGAACUGCAUCCAAAACUGGCGAGCUAGAGUAGGGCAGAGAGUGGUGGAAUUUCCUGUGUAGCGGUGAAAUGCAUAGCUAUAGGAAGGAACACCAGUGGCGAAGGCGACCACCUGGGCUCAUACUGACACUGAGGUGCGAAAGCGUGGGGAGCAAACAGG